AAGUGGAGAGUUCACUGCCAAGCCAGGCUCCUGCCCCAAGGGUGUAGUGGACGCACCCAGGAAUACAGGGUGUGAAUGGGACUCAGACUGUCCAGGGUGGCAAAAGUGCUGCCAGAGAGAGGGCCUCUCUUUUUGCACCAACCCUCAACAUACAGGCAAUAGAGGCUAUUGCUUCAACGUCACUGUGACCGUGAAGACAGAUUACCAGCAGCUGAUAUCCAUGGACGGGGGAAUCAUGAACCACACAAGGCUUUUGCACUCUGUGGUGACCGGAGCCCUGGACUCCUCUGACGUCUCUGUAUACUACAUCAGCUCCUGGCCUAUAGGGCCAUUCAGAACCGCUUCAUCUAUGCUGAUUGGUUCCCCUGAAACUCUGUCCUUGUCUAACACGACCACAAAACUGCACCUUCUUCUCAAACACAUUGAAGAAGUCACCUCUGUGU